AGUGAACGCUGGCGGUAGGCCUAACACAUGCAAGUCGAACGGCAGCACAGUAAGCGCUUGCUCUUACGGUUGGCGAGUGGCGGACGGGUGAGGAAUACAUCGGAAUCUACUUUUUCGUGGGGGAUAACGGAGGGAAACUUACGCUAAUACCGCAUACGACCUACGGGUGAAAGCAGGGGAUCUUCGCACCUUGCGCGAUUGAAUUAGCUGAUGCCGGAUUAGCUAGUUGGCUUGGUAAGGGCCCACCAAGGCAACGAUCCGUAGCGGGUCUGAGAGGAUGAUCGGCCACACUGGAACUGAGACACGGUCCAGACUCCUACGGGAGGCAGCAGUAGGGAAUCUUGGACAAUGGGCGAAAGCCUGACGCAGCAAUACCGCGUGAGUGAAGAAGGCCUUCGGGUUGUAAAGCCCUUUUGUUGGGAAAGAAAAGCAGCAGGUUAAUCCACGGCUGUUCUGACGGUACCCAAAGAAUAAGCACCGGCUAACUUCGUG
rnacentral:rRNA from 1 species